rnacentral:rRNA from 1 species
GACGAACGCUGACGGCUUGCCUAUUACUUGCAAGUAGAACGCAGUUCCGAACGGGUGAGUAACGCUUAGGUACCUCCCUGGUAGGGGGGGAUAAUUUUUGGAAACAUUAGCUAAUACCCCAUAAUACCGACUGGACUGGCGUUGUAUUAGCUAGUUGAUGAGGUAACGUCUCACAAAGGCAACGAUACAUAGCCGAACGGAGAUGGUGAUCGGCCACACCGGGACUGAGACACGGCCCAGACUCCUACGGGAGGCAGCAGUAGGGAAUCUUCGGCAAUGGGGGGAACCCUGACCGAGCAACGCCGCGUGAGUGAAGAAGGUUUUCGGAUCGUAAAGCUCUGUUGUUAAGGAAGCGGUACUUAACCAGAAAGGGACGGCUAACUACGUGCCAGCCGCCGCGGUAAUAC